rnacentral:rRNA from 1 species
UACGAAGGGUGCAAGCGUUACUCGGAAUUACUGGGCGUAAAGCGUGCGUAGGUGGUGAGUUAAGUCUGUCGUGAAAGCCCCCGGGCUCAACCUGGGAAUGGCGAUGGAUACUGGCUCGCUAGAGUGCGGUAGAGGGGAGUGGAAUUCCCGGUGUAGCAGCGAAAUGCGUAGAGAUCGGGAGGAACAUCAGUUGCGAAGGCGGCUCUCUGGACCAGCACUGACACUGAGGCACGAAAGCGUGGGGAGCGAACGGG